CCAAUAGCGUAUAUUAAAGUUGUUGCAGUUAAAAAGCUCGUAGUUGAAUUUCGGGAUCGACGGGUCGGUCGCGCCUCCGGUGUGUACUGGCCCUGUCGGUUUCUCCCUUCUGACGAACCACGAUGUCAUUAAUUUGAUGUCGUGGGAAAUCAGGACUGUUACUUUGAAAAAAUUAGAGUGUUUAAAGCAGGCAUUCGCUUGAAUACAUUAGCAUGGAAUAAUGAAAUAGGACGUUUGAUCUUAUUUUGUUGGUUUCUAAGAUCGACGUAAUGAUUAAUAGGGAUAGUUGGGGGCAUUAGUAUUCAAUUGUCAGAGGUGAAAUUCUUGGAUUUAUUGAAGACUAACUACUGCGAAAGCAUUUGCCAAGGAUGUUUUCAUUAAUCAAGAACGAAAGUUAGGGGAUCGAAGACGAUCAGAUACCGUCGUAGUCUUAACCAUAAACUAUGCCGACUAGGGAUCGGAUGAUGUUAAUUUUUUAAUGACUCAUUCGGCGCCUUACG
rnacentral:rRNA from 1 species